ACGUUGUGUCAUGUUUACCUCCUGAUUUUUGUUUCGUUUUUGUUAGUUGCCUAGCAUGUAUUGGUCCUCACGAUUAGUGUCCUGACAUUGAGAUGCACUAGUCAACCAGGAAUGCAUCGUUAUUGUUAUAAAGACACGUUUAUAAAUCUAACUGAAUGUUAUUGAGGGGGUAAAAUUACCCGAAAACCAGAACAGAAUGCAUUGGCAUUUCUCGUUUAUAUGACUCGAUUAAAAGAGUUAGGUGUCCCAACUGCGUCAUCCUACCAAGAUUAAGGAAGGAAAUUUAGUAGGCUACAUUACUGCUGAAGAACGUGAAAACUCUUCUCGUUACUUGCGUGAAUAUCAGAAUAUUAAAUAUAUAUUCGUUUGCCGCUCUCUCUGGGUUUCUCGCAUCAGAAACCAUGCCGAAGCAUUAAGGCCAUCCUCUCGCUGCAGGUAGCAGUGAAACACGAUGCCAGUCUGACACGCUGUAGGUAGCAGUAAACACAAUUCCAGCUCCAUGAAAGGAAACAAAACCAUAGGCCAUCCUUCUGACGCCAUCGGCAAUCGGAAUGAAACAUCUGAUUCUCCACGUCCAGGCCCCGUUGCGGUGUUACGUGGUAAAAGAAUGACGACUGGUAGUCAACAAAAGGCUACAAGUCAUCGACCAGUAAACAAGAGAUUUUCUCUUCCAUUUGGAAAAUUUCAUCAUUGCUUAUUGUGUUUAUAUAUAUUUUUUAAUAAUUCGCAAUGGGAGUGUUCUCUCUGUGUGUAGCUGUUUUGCUUUUCUCGCCUGGUUUGGCCCACUUAAAUGAAGG